GGCAACAAGUUUUAAACUCUUUCAGAUUUAACUUUCAAAGUAAUUGUUUUAUUUUGAAGCGAUGACCUGCUAUUUGGUUGCAGGAGUGAAAAUAUACAACACAAACACAAAUUCUAUGCUUCACUAAACCAAAAACACAAAUAAAAGCUCACACUCACAGAUGUUCCUAAGAAUUAUUUCUGUUUAUUUUUGUUUUCUACAUAAAACCACACGGGUCAAUAAAACCUCAAAGAUGACAUGCAGUGUCACACAAGCAUUACGAGAUGAGGUUUUUGUUAAGCCUCCAGAUUCAUAAUAUAUCAAAAUAUGCUCCCAUCAAUUUCAUCCACUGCUCUGUUUGUAAUGUGUUCUGUAAUUCAAAUGUCAUUUCAGCCCCCAGUGUUUUCAGUUCUCUUCUCGAGCCUCGCAUCUUAUGUUUUAAUGCAACAAAAACAACCCCUUUCUGCAUCCCAUGGCGGAUCUCAUUCUUGUUGACCUUCCGUAGGAGAUGCCCUCUGUCCUUCCUGCGAAAAGGCGAGGUAGAAAGGCAUCGAGAAGCAGAGGAAUUGGAGGGAGGGGUGUAUAAUCUGCAGGUCUCUGGGGACAUUCUGCAGGUGCACUCAUCUGCUGGCCUUGAGAGAGAGACCCAAUUUUCCCUAUCAUUCAUUGAAGGGCAGCCAAGAAGUCUACAGAAGAAGUGCACAGGGUGGAAGUAUGGAUUGGCUGGGAUAAUGUUGAGAGCAGCCUGCAUUAUCACAAUACCCUUGCAAGAUCAAUACCUGAAUGCCUGAAACUUCAGUAUCUAUAGUGAAUGAAAAGAAGAUAGACAGUCAUACAUGUUCGGCAAGAAAUGAGGGGGCAGAACGUUGUGCCAGGGAGGAUUGGAGAUGACAGGGAGAUAAAUUUAUCCGACUUCCUUCCUUCCCUUUCAAAUUAACAACAUGCCCUCUGGUCCUCUAGAAUGCAAACUCAAUCAUAAAGCCUGUCUCUCAUCUCGUACACCAGAUAAAGUGGAGCAACUUGGGUAUAUGACUUGUGACCUCACAAAACUCAGAUGGAUGGUGACUACAUAGAGUCAAACGCCUGUCAACGAGAGGAAGGCAGUCAUGAGUGAUCAUCUCUGGUCAAACGCAUUGCCUCGGCAUCACUACAGACAGCUUAAUCAGCAGAAUCUUGAAAGCGGGAAUUCAUCGCUCAUUACUUUGCUUGCUAUCAGCAAUUAGCAGUGGGAGGUAUGAUCGUGCAUCCAAGAGCCAAGAUCAAUCCGUCCAUCUGUGCUUCUCUACUUGAGGCCAGUCCGGUCCUUACAUUCACUGAGAGGAAUGUAGAUGAAAUGCAUUUCUUGAUUUUACAAAGUUGCAUUAGAUUGCUUGCUUGAUUUAUUUUUUGAUUGAUUGUUUGGAAAGGUAAUGGGACAUUAGAAGGUGUUUAUGUGCCAAAUAUUUUUCUGUUCAUAUUUAGUACAGUGCUAAUUGUUUACAGUGCCACUACUUAUUGAGUCUCAUGUAAUUUGCGGGUCACUAGCAUCACUAAAUGUGAUAGCAAAAUAUUUACUUUUCAAUAGGUUUACUAAACACUUCCUCUUACUGUAUAUUAAUGCACUACCAAACAGAUAGUCCUACAAAAAAAAACUAAGUGUUACCCUACGGAACAAUGAUGGUGUCAUAUUGUUACUCCACGAUGCUUUGAUACAUACUAUAUAUUAGAGGUGUCACAAUAUACCGUUUUGUUAAUAAUCUUGUUAUAUUAAUAAUAGGGCUGACGCGUUACCGCAUGCCAUUAAUGUUUUUCAGAUUAAUGCGUAAAAAAUAUUUAACGCAGCAUCCAUUUGUUUUGUCAUUCUUUGUCUAGCGUUACAUUAUAUAAUCACGCUCUUAUUCAUGUAAAGGCUUUUAAACAAUUUAAGCUCGAUUUGAAACGGUUGCUUUGACGUGUUCGGUGUAGAUAGACAGCUUCAAACUGUGGGACGCGGCAAAACGCUACGUGACAGCAGUCCAGUGUGGUGUAUAUAGUCAAGGGGUAAAGUCUGCGUCAGUGAAUCUCUGUCAGAAUCAGUCAGACAGCGCACCAGUAUUAAGUUCUCUUUAGUGCUUGAAUGAAAAAAAAAAACACACCACAUUAUGCCAGAAAGCCCGUUUUGAGCAUUUUCGUAAGCACAGACUUCAACGUGUUAAACGAAUGCAAAGAGUUGUGAAAACCGGAGAGGCAUCAGACCUGUGUAAAAGGAUGGCUCUUGAAGGGGUCGCAUUCUUAAACCUGCUGCUGUGACUCCUGUCAUUGAUGUUAAUCAAAGAACAAAAGAAAAGAGGAAUUCAAUGUGUUUUGUAAAUUCUUCUGUAUUUAAUUUAGAAUUAUUUAGCAUAAAAAACUGUAAAGUGUUUGAGAACUUCAUUCAAUUUCUGUAUAUUUCCCCAUGAUAGCUCUCUAUUACACUGUUGAAUGGCUAUAAUUAAUGUUAAAAUAAAUAAAAAAGAAUCAAUUUAAUAGAGACAUGAUAGACAUCGGUUGCAGUACUAAUAUCAGAAUGUUGGCUUUCAUUCAUAAAAUGAUGCUGUUAAACAAAUAUGUUGUACAUUAAUUUGAAGAUUAAACGUGAAAUUAUUAGAAAGUAAAAGUAUAUUUAAAAACAUUAAAGUUAUGUUUAAUCAGCGUGAUUAAUGUGAUUAAUCAGAUUAUUUUUUUAAUCGAUUGACAGCACUAAUUAAUAACAGUGAUGAUCUAUAAUCUGUUUAUACUUAUACACAUGAUAAUAACGUGAGUUAUCCAGCUCCAGUAUCUGGUUGACACUUUCACAUGGCGGGUUUGCACCUGUUUAACAUGGUUACCAUCACUCCCUCCAACUUCCAGUACUUGUCUUUAAAGGAUGAUUCAUGCGCCAAAAAAAUAUAUAUUGCAUUAGUAUAGUUAUUGUAGAUUUUUCUGGCCCUGACAAUCCUGAAAGUCUGUUAUUGUAACAGUCCUAAUACAACUCAUUUAACCUUAAAUCUGAUGAGAAAAAUAGAUGCUGCUAAUUGUUUUUUCCACUGCAAAUCGAUUGGAUCUAGAAAUAUACACUUUUCCAUCAGAAAUGGAGUUGGCAGCACACUUAGGAUGGGUUUGAGGGGAGGGGUUAAUGGAUUUUGUGCCCAAAACUUCAAACUGAUGUCAUCAGAGAAGGAUCAAUGCUCUAGACCGCAAAUACAUUUUCAGAUUUUGUGUUUACAGAGACUUUUCUAUGGAUGAACUUGCACAGAUAAAUUGUUCAUUACAAAAAUAGUAAUGUUUGCUAACAAAGUAAAUAGUCCAUUUUGAUUUCAUCUUUUUAGGAAUGACACAAAAUGAUUUUCAAAAUAAUACCAUUGUAUUUUCAUUUAACGUGUACAAAAAUAUGGUAAUACCAUGGUACAUUUAGGUUUUUGUUAUUGUUUGUCAGUGAUAUUACAUUCUUGAAUUAAAUUGUCUGGAAUGAUUCAGGCAACAGGAGCUGUGUGCUAUUUUCAAAAAGGAAUCUGAUUAGGAAACUAAACAUAGGCACCGUAUGACGGUAACAAAUUCGAAA